ensembl:rRNA 5S_rRNA 5S ribosomal RNA
GUCUAUGGCCAUACCACUGUGAAUGCGCCCGAUCUUGUCUGAUCUCGGAAGCUAAACAGGGUUGGGCUGGUUAGUACUUGGAUGGGAGAACAUAAGUUGCCAAGCUG